rnacentral:rRNA from 1 species
UACGUAGGGUGCAAGCGUUAAUCGAAAUUACUGGGCGUAAAGCGUGCGCAGGCGGUUAUGUAAGACAGGUGUGAAAUCCCCGGGCUUAACCUGGGAACUGCAUUUGUGACUGCAUCGCUGGAGUGCGGCAGAGGGGGAUGGAAUUCCGGCGUGUAGCAGUGAAAUGCGUAGAUAUGCGGAGGAAGCACCGAUGGCGAAGGCAGCCAUCUGGACCGACACUGACGCUGAAGGCGCGGAAAGCGUGGGGAGCAAACAGG